UCGGGGGGUAGCUUGCUACCUCGCCGGCGGGUGGCGGACGGGUGAGUAAUGCCUGGGGAGCUGCCCAAUCGAGGGGGAUACCAGUUGGAAACGACUGCUAAUACCGCAUACGCCCUGAGGGGGAAAGGUGGGGAUCUUCGGACCUACCGCGAUUGGAUGCGCCCAGGUGGGAUUAGCUAGUUGGUGAGGUAACGGCUCACCAAGGCGACGAUCUCUAGCUGGUCUGAGAGGAUGACCAGCCACACUGGAACUGAGACACGGUCCAGACUCCUACGGGAGGCAGCAGUGGGGAAUAUUGCACAAUGGGGGAAACCCUGAUGCAGCCAUGCCGCGUGUGUGAAGAAGGCCUUCGGGUUGUAAAGCACUUUCAGUCAGGAGGAAAGGUGGCUAGCUAAUACCUAGUUGCUGUGACGUUACUGACAGAAGAAGCACCGGCUAACUCCGUGCCAGCAGCCGCGGUAAUACGGAGGGUGCAAGCGUUAAUCGGAAUUACUGGGCGUAAAGCGCACGCAGGCGG
rnacentral:rRNA from 1 species